GACGUAGGGGGCAAGCGUUGUCCGGAAUCAUUGGGCGUAAAGCGCGUGUAGGCGGCUCGGUAAGUCUGCUGUUAAAGUCCAGGGCUCAACCCUGGGAUGCCGGUGGAUACUGUCGAGCUCGAGUCCGGAAGAGGAGUGUGGAAUUCCUGGUGUAGCGGUGAAAUGCGCAGAUAUCAGGAGGAACACCAAUGGCGAAGGCAGCACUCUGGGACGUGACUGACGCUGAGACGCGAAAGCGUGGGGAGCAAACAGG
rnacentral:rRNA from 1 species